rnacentral:tRNA from 1 species
CGGGGUGUGGCGCAGCCCGGUAGCGCACCUGCUUUGGGAGCAGGGGGCCGGAGGUUCGAAUCCUCUCACCCCGACCA